rnacentral:rRNA from 1 species
AUUGAACGCUGGCGGCAGGCUUAACACACGCAAGUCGAGCGGGGGAGGUUGCUUCGGUAACUGACCUAGCGGCGGACGGGUGAGUAAUGCUUAGGAAUCUGCCUAUUAGUGGGGGACAACAUUCCGAAAGGGAUGCUAAUACCGCAUACGCCCUACGGGGGAAAGCAGGGGAUCUUCGGACCUUGCGCUAAUAGAUGAGACUAAGUCGGAUUAGCUAGUUGGUGGGGUAAAGGCCUACCAAGGCGACGAUCUGUAGCGGGUCUGAGAGGAUGAUCCGCCACACUGGGACUGAGACACGGCCCAGACUCCUCCGGGAGGCAGCAGUGGGGAAUAUUGGACAAUGGGCGGAAGCCUGAUCCAGCCAUGCCGCGUGUGUGAAGAAGGCCUUUUGGUUGUAAAGCACUUUAAGCGAGGAGGAGGCUCUUAAGGUUAAUACCCUUGAUGAGUGGACGUUACUCGCAGAAUAAGCACCGGCUAACUCUGUGCCAGCCGCCGCCGUAACAC